UGUGUGCUAGACGUUGGAAAUUUUAUUUUCAGUGUCGCAGCGAAAGCGAUAAGCACACCGCCUGGGGAGUACGGCCGCAAGGUUAAAACUCAAAGGAAUUGACGGGGACCCGCACAAGCGGUGGAGCAUGUGGUUUAAUUCGAAGAUACGCGCAGAACCUUACCAACACUUGACAUGUUCGUCGCAACUCUAAGAGAUUAGAGUUUUCGGUUCGGCCGGACGAAACACAGGUGCUGCAUGGCUGUCGUCAGCUCGUGUCGUGAGAUGUUGGGUUAAGUCCCGCAACGAGCGCAACCCUCACUUUUAGUUGCUACCAUUUAGUUGGGCACUCUGAAAGAACUGCCAGUGAUAAGCUGGAGGAAGGUGGGGAUGACGUCAAGUCCUCAUGGCCCUUACGUGUUGGGCUACACACGUGCUACAAUGGUAUCUACAACAGGAAGCAAAACAGCGAUGUUAAGCAAAUCCCGAAAAGAUACCUCAGUUCGGAUUGCACUCUGCAACUCGAGUGCAUGAAGCUGGAAUUACUAGUAAUCGUGGAUCAGCGUGCCACGGUGAAUACGUUCCCGGGUCUUGUACACACCGCCCGUCACACCAUGGGAGUUGGUUCUACCUUAAGGCAAAGUUUAAAACCUUUGACCACGGUAUAGUCAGCGACUGGGGUGAAGUCGUAACAAGGUAGCCGUAGGGGAACCUGCGGCUG
rnacentral:rRNA from 1 species